rnacentral:tRNA from 1 species
CAGUUUAAAGCUUAAAAAGUAAAGCAUUUUAUUUACAUUAAAAAGAAGAAUGUGCAAAUCAUUUUAAACUGA